rnacentral:rRNA from 1 species
UACUCUUAACACCUGUGCACACUAUGCGAGUUAGUAGUUGGUCUUUCCUUGAAAGAGGGUGCACGUCCUUGUAAUGGUUAGUAGUCGCGAGGCGAAAGCUUACCAGGUGUUUGUAUUGUUCGUUAGUAGUCGAGAGGCGAAAGCGUACGAGUUUUGACACCUGUUGAGUAAGUAGUCGAGCGAUGAAAGCUUGAGGGGAAGUGAACCUACACUUUCAAGGAGUUGCUGAAGGGGGUGCACCGUCUCGUCUGAUGGUUCGUAGUCGUUCAGUGAAAGCUUACUGCGUUUCUGUAUUGUUUGUUAGUAGUCGAGAGACGAAAGCCUACGAGUUUGAAGUGCAGUUUGUUAGUAGUGGAGCGAAGAAAGCUGAGGGACUCCUCUCCCCUUCGACUAGGGAUCGAUGAAGGCUUUGUCUUUAUCAACCUUUACUUGUCAUGUAGAAUGUAAUGCUCGUUGUGGGCGAAAUUUAUACAACUUUCAACAACGGAUCUCUUGGCUCUCGCAUCGAUGAAGAACGCAGCGAAAUGCGAUAAGUAAUGUGAAUUGCAGAAUUCAGUGAAUCAUCGAAUCUUUGAACGCACCUUGCACCCCUUGGUAUUCCGAGGGGUAUGCCUGUUUGAGUGUCAUGUUAACCUCAACUCCCCUUGUUUUGUUACUCGGGUGUUGGACUUGGGGGUUUGCUGGCCCCGUUGUGGUCGGCUCCUCUUAAAAGCAUUAGCUGGACUUUGGUUCGCGUUGAGGGUGUAAUAAGCUAACGACUUUCACCAAGCGCUUGCCUAAGGGGUUUGGCUUCUAAUCGUCUUCGGACAAGGUCUUAGUGCCUUCUUGACACCUUGACCUCAAAUCAGGUAGGACACCCAGUCUC